rnacentral:misc_RNA from 1 species
AAGUCGUAACAAGGUUUCCGUAGGUGAACCUGCGGAAGGAUCAUUAUAGAUUCUUCAACUGUGCGCCUUCGGGCCGCACGUUGAAUCCAAUCACACACACCUGUGCACUUCGGUCGCGGUAACGCGUCCGCUUUACAUUUAACAAGUAAAACCUGAAUGUUCAAACCAUAAACAUAAACAACUUUUAACAACGGAUCUCUUGGCUCUC